GACCCGUCUUGAAACACGGACCAAGAAGUCUAUCUUGCGCGCAAGUCAAUGGGAGUAGCAAACCCAAAGGCGAAGAUAACACAACUGCAAAGUCGUUGCGGGAUUACGGGUGCACCACAGUCCGCAAGGACUGGCUAGCUGUGCCGCCCCUCCAUCCCCGGGUGUUUAGCAACGGAUCUGUAGUGCCGUGGACCCCCCGCCGGGGUGGGCAUUUGCAGAGCCAACGCGACAUACCGCGAGCGCGCAGGAUGUGACCCGAAAGAUGGUGAACUAUGCCUGAUCAGGUUGAAGUCAGGGGAAACCCUGAUGGAGGACCGAAGCAAUUCUGACGUGCAAAUCGAUUGUAAGAGUUGGGCAUAGGGGCGAAAGACCAAUCGAACCAUCUAGUAGCUGGUUCCUUCCGA
rnacentral:rRNA from 1 species